CCUACGGGAGGCAGCAGUGGGGAAUAUUGGACAAUGGGCGAAAGCCUGAUCCAGCAAUGCCGCGUGAGUGAUGAAGGCCUUAGGGUUGUAAAGCUCUUUUACCAGGGAUGAUAAUGACAGUACCUGGAGAAUAAGCUCCGGCUAACUCCGUGCCAGCAGCCGCGGUAAUACGGAGGGAGCUAGCGUUGUUCGGAAUUACUGGGCGUAAAGCGUACGUAGGCGGUUAUUCAAGUCAGAGGUGAAAGCCUGGAGCUCAACUCCAGAACUGCCUUUGAAACUAGAUAGCUAGAAUCUUGGAGAGGUGAGUGGAAUUCCGAGUGUAGAGGUGAAAUUCGUAGAUAUUCGGAAGAACACCAGUGGCGAAGGCGACUCACUGGACAAGUAUUGACGCUGAGGUACGAAAGCGUGGGGAGCAAACAGGAUUAGAUACCCUGGUAGUCCACGCCGUAAACGAUGAUAACUAGCUGUUCGGGCUCUACGAGCUUGAGUGGCCGNNGCACGACAUAAGUUAUCCGCCGUGGGAGGUACGGUCGCGAGAAGUAAACUAACUAAGAAGUUAGUAGCGUUGAGAGNGCGACGGACGACGACGAGGGAGGAGG
rnacentral:rRNA from 1 species